AUCAGUAUUUUGUUUGGACUCAAAAAAAAUACUGAUUGAAUAAAUACUAUAAGAUACAAGGAGGUUACAUGAUACAUGAUUGUUUGCACAACCCCAAUCUCAGUCCCUUGUGAAACAAGAAACUGAAUUCAUGAUUGUCUAUUAGUUACAAACCUUGAAGAAUAAUGACAUGGAAAAACUUCUAAUAAUCAAAUCACUGUCAAAAUCCAUUGGACAAUAAUCUGAGGAAAUCACACAAAAACCUCUCAACUGGAGGAAAGAAA
rnacentral:misc_RNA from 1 species